rnacentral:lncRNA from 1 species
AUUACUUCACUACAAUUAAUUAAUCAAUUCAGCUAAUUUUAGAAUUUACACUGCAACUCACGUGCAGCCACAACCUCAAAUUGACUUCUUUGUGUAAAUUGAAAACACCAAUUACAAUUCUUGCAGCCCAACAAAUGAAUCAAAGCAAUGUCAACAAAUGUCACGGUCCCACCACAUACACUAACGCGUACCAAUUUAUAGCACCAACAAUUCAACUCCAAGUGUUAUGUCAUUGUGCCAAUUCUUACCAAUUGAAACAAAGAAAAUUCAAGAGCGUGGGUCCUACUUCAACUUGUUAAAGUUUCUUUCCUUUCAAUUUUUUUUUCAAGUGCAGAAAAUUCCAAUUGAAAUGUUAGCUCAAAUUCACCUUUAGUUGCAUGUACUUUUCAUCCUUUUGAAUUCAAAACAAAGCUGAAGCUAUUUUUUUUUCACGUGAACAUUGUUGUUGCACUUUAUAUAAAUGCACCAAUUCUUCCCGCACGAAUUUCGGAAAUCACCAGCUAAGUUCCCAAUUCCAGUUGUACUAAAUCACAGCUGAUGUUUGUGCUCACCAAAUUCUCAUCAAAUUCAUGCUGCCAUUUCAAACAGUUCCUUCCACCAAGAAUAACAAAGAUCAAAUGAAAAUUCAGAGGCACAGUUUCAAUUAGAAACUACAACAGCAAAAACCAGAAAACAAAAAGUUUGAUUCCAAAUAAACUGCACUAAAACAAUUUAUCAUACACUUUCUAGCAGCUGUCUAAAACUGUUAAACCAAAAAAUUAUGCACCCAAAUCUUCACUCAAUCAGAACACCAAUUUAGCUUUUGCACUAGGAAUCACAAAUUCAAAUUCAAGUGAUUAAAGCCAUGAAAUCUGCAGUAAAACUUUCCACCAAAGUUCAUUAAACAACACUGAAACAACCAGCAAAAUAUCAACAACUUCAAAAUUCGCACCGAAACAGCCAAACUGCACCAAUUCUAGAAUUGGAGUCAAAUUAUCAAACAGAUGGUAUACUAAAAAUAAAAAUCUGCACCAAUUCUAAAUCACCAAUGUUGCCUCUGCUUUGGUUCAAAAUAAGAUCAAAUUAAUGCACCAAACAAUUCUUUCCACCACGAACACUAAAAUCUCCCUAAACAAUACUUGUUCCAACUUGAAUUUGUAGCUGCUUCGCUUGGAAAAAUCUUAGGUCACGAACAACACUGCUUCCAACAAUUCCACUAAAUGGAUUUAUGCUGCUUCAGUGAAGAACAACGAAACAGUUCCGAUUAGCACUUUUCCAAUGCGAUUCUAGAUCCAGUGGGGAUGUAAACUUAUGUUUCCGCUGGAAACCACAACAUCUCUGUUUCGCAAUCACUACUCAGUGUUCUCAGAUCACAGGAUUUAAAAAUCGAUUCAGAGAAUGAAGAAUAAUAAGAUUAUAAAUGCAUCGAAAACUCACCUGAAAUGCCACUUCUGUUCACCAAUUUAGGUUACCGGAAACGUAAAAACCUUCAUCCACUGAUUCUGUUCACCGGAAGCCGCAAAACCUCCUUACACCAAUUUCGUUCUCCAAAAACUACAAAACACCUCCGUUCGAGAUUCCUCUAACACCGCACCGCUUCAAUUAGAUUUCACACCGAACAAUUUUUUCGUCAAAAUUUUGUUUCUCAGUUUCGCACCAAACUCAGCUCACAUGUUUUCAAAAUCACAUUAAGAAUGAAGAACAAGAUGAACAAAUUGAAAACGCAUAUGAACGUGAACGAGCAACAAUUUUCGUGAAAUUUUGACAAUAGAAACAGAAUCAGAACUGCUAUUUGCACCACAGAUCCAAUGAGAUCUCACAAACAGAUCCAGAUUACUCUUCACAUCUUGAAAUUUCUUUUUAAACCACGAACAAUUUUUGGAAAAAAUUUAGAGAAUUUUCGAAAAUGAAUUUUGAGAGAAUGAUAAUGGAACCCUAACUCAAAGAAAAUUGCUAAUGAUCUAGUAGCAAUUUAUGAACUCAAAAACGAAAAUCAAAAGCACUCAAGAGCUCUAAUCUAUGAAGAAAUUUGAAAAAAAAUCAAAAAGUUUAACCAAUGAAUUUUGUGACAAUUUUUGGACUAAACAUGACUCCGGACAAAACAUUUAUGUCAAAAUGACUCAAAUAUAAGAAAAUUUCACCAAACAAAUUUGAAGAAAACUCAAAAAGUUCAAAAGCACACAUGAACAUGAACACAAGAACACCUAAAAAUAUAUACAUGAAGUUUCAAGUAAGAACAACUAAUUUGAACGGAACAAAAACACAAAAUCAUGAAAAACAAAAUAUGAAAACAACGCGAAAUUAUGAAAAAAAGUAGAAGAAAAUCUUACAACCAUAGCUCUCAAUACCAAAUGAUGGAAAAAAACUCUUCUUCUAAUAGUGAUCUUUGUAAUUUCUUCUUUGAUGGAUGAUGAAGGAGUUUUGAGGAGCGGAAGCAUUAAAGAAAUGCAAGAGGAGUUUCCAUGGAUUGAAAUGGAGUUAGGAAUUUGUGAGAGUGAGAGGUGAGGCCAACUCACUAGAAAAGAGUCUAGGUUAAGUCUUGA